AGCGAACGCUGGCGGCAGGCCUAACACAUGCAAGUCGAACGAACCCUUCGGGGUUAGUGGCGGACGGGUGAGUAACACGUGGGAACGUGCCUUUAGGUUCGGCAUAACUCAGGGAAACUUGUGCUAAUACCGAAUGUGCCCUUCGGGGGAGAGAUUUAUCGCCUUUAGAGCGGCCGGCGUCUGAUUAGCUAGUUGGUGAGGUAAUGGCUCACCAAGGCUACGAUCAUUAGCUGGUCUGAGAGGAUGAACAGCCACAUUGGGACUGAGACACGGCCCAAACACCUACGGGAGGCAGCAGUGGGGAAUCUUGCGCAAUGGGCGAAAGCCUAACGCAGCCAUGCCGCGUGGAUGAUGAAGGUCUUAGGAUUGUAAAAUCCUUUCACCGGUGAAGAUAAUGACUGUAGCCGGAGAAGAAGCCCCGGCUAACUUCGUGCCAGCCGCCGCCGUAACAC
rnacentral:rRNA from 1 species